CUUCGCCCUCUUUUUUUCAAAAACAUGUCUUUUUGAUGAUAAUUUAAAGUCGAAUCUGCCCACUGAUUAAUAAUUAAAGGGCUGCAGUAUAUUGACUGUACAAAGGUAGCAUAAUAAUUAGUCUUUUAAUUGAAGACUUGUAUGAAAGAUUUGAUGAGAUAUAAACUGUCUCUUUUUUAAAAUUAAAAUUUAAUUUUUUAGUAAAAAAGCUAAAAUAAAUUUAAAAGACGAGAAGACCCUAUAGAGUUUUAUAAUUGAAUUAUUUAAAAAUUUAUUUUUAAUUUAAAAAAUAAUUAGUUUAAUUAUUUUAUUGGGGUGAUAAAAAAAUUAAAAUAACUUUUUUUUUAUUUUAAACAUUAAUUAAUGAAUAAUUGAUCCAUAAUUUAUGAUUAUAAGAAAAAAUUACCUUAGGGAUAACAGCGUAAUUUUUUUUUUUAGUUCUUAUAAGAAAAAAAGUUUGCGACCUCGAUGUUGGAUUAAGAUAAAAUUUAAAUGCAGAAGUUUAAAGUUUUGAUCUG
rnacentral:rRNA from 1 species